AAACUCAAGUGUAGGCUCAUCCGCACAAAAGAUUUCUAAAAAAAUUUCCCAAAAUAAUCCCAGUUCUCGCUUCUCUCCUCGUUCCCCUUAUCUGGUUCUCUUUUCCCUAAAAAUGAACAUUUUUAUUUUUUUUCAUUUUCCCUCUUCUCCCCCUUCCCCUUCUCUGGUUCUCUGGUUUCUAACAAGGCCACGAAACUCAAAAUUCACAGCACAUACACCGUGACAAGCCGCGGCGCCGCUGCUCUUAGGAUUUCUGAGUGUGUGUUUUCGAGGUCGAGUAAUUCGUAUUGUUGAGAUGGGUUGGCCAAUUGUCAAAUCUUCCGAUUCAAGAUUAGUGGAGAAGAUGUGUUUCUCAUUAACAAAGAUGAUGAUGAUUGUGAUGCUCCAAGUGCACCUCCAGUUUACCACUCCGGUUAGGACACCAACCAAGAUGUGCUUGGAGCCAAUAACAAAGCAUCUGCUGAUUCUCAUGUUGCUUCUAACAAAAAUGAGCCAGUUGUUCCUAAUGUUCUGCCAUCUGGUGCCAAUCAAGUGGAUAGUAUUGGAAAUAAGGUUCCUGGUCAACAAGCAAUAACCGCAGCCAGUGCAUAAUCUGCAGGAUCUUCUGGUUCACAUGCUGCUUGUCUACCUACUUUCCAUGCAAGGUAAUUUUCACUAAUAUCGGAAUGGUUGUUCAAUAUUUUAUCAUUUUAGCUUCUCUGACUUUUACCUCUAUCGUUAAUGCUACAUUACCUGAUUAAGAUGUUUUCCCCUUUGUUUUAUUGUGGUUUAUAAUUAUGUACUCAAGGACCAUGUCAUUCAGUGGUUGCAUAUGAUGUUUGUGUUCGUCUUUAUCUCAAUGCCUGGGCAAGGAGUUGCAUGCAAGCUCCUUUUUUUCUUGAAAAUGAGUGUGCUUUAUUGCGGAGUGCAUUUGGGUAAGCUUAGUCACCCUUAAGUCUUUGAUUGUUGCUAUAUACUCCAUACAUAGUAUCUUUUUAGCAUUUUCAAGAUUAGAAGUUUUACAACUUUCAUAAUGUUAUAAUUUCGGCGAUCAUGAUGUCUACUCAUUAUUUAACAUGUAGAUGUAGUUGUUGCGGUGCCAAAUGACAUUAUCUAUUGGAACAUUAUGCUAUGUUUUUAUAAAACAAUUAUUACUAUUAACUGAAGUACUUCGAUUCUUGCUCGUUUGCGCUAAGGUUUCCUCCAAACAAGCUUCUUAGUAGCUAAUGGCCUGAUGAGCAUGUUAAGAAUUAUCUACAACUGUUAUUGAUGCUUGAUCUGUCUCUCCAAAUUCUUUGGCUCAUGGAAAUUGUUUCUUGUCAUUUUUUAUCCAUGAUUUCAGUCACUUGUUCUCUUUCUUAUAGUUUAAGAUUGUUCCAUAAGUUGACAUUUAAUCUUAAAAACCCAUGCUGGGAAAACUUUGAGCUUCUUGGUUUAAAAGUUGGUCUUUACUUCUUAGAGUAUCCUAUUAGAUGGAUGGAGCUUUGUAACUUUCAAGUUUUUUUCCCCCUUAACUACAAUGUUUGGUAGCUAGUAUAAAAAAGCUCAGUUCACAAUUGUUGUUCUGAUCUGGUGAACUGAGUUUGUGAAAUGAAAUAUCAGAUCCGAAGCAUCAGAUCAAAAGCAUGCUUGUGAACUGAUCUGCUUCGGAUCUGAUCUUUCAUUUCACAAACUCUGUUGCUGCUUCUGAUCUGUUCUUUCAUUUCUGUUGCGAGAAGAUCAGAACACUCACAACUGAUAUGCUGCUUCUUGUGCUGAACUAUAGACUAUUCCAUACUCAAAAACUUACCUUUGUCUUACAUGCAUUUUAUUUGUGUGAUUCCAAGUAUGCACAACAAACAGGCAAUACGGAGUGCGACUACUACGUGAUGAAGUACAUGUACGAUAUAGUUACAAGUUGUACGGAUGUCAAAGAUCUCGAAGAGAUAUUUUGAUGGUCGAUCUUUUUAAGGUAUUCAAUAAUUCGAGGGAGCGGCCUUUCACAUUUGAGGAGAUAGAUGAAGUUCGAGAAAUGUUGGCAAACUUCAUUACCAGUGAUUGUCUUUGAUAUUUUCUUGUACCGAAUCUUAAAUUAUGGAUGCUAGUUUUUCAUAUGAUUGUAAUGUAAUCGAAUUUUAUAUUUACAAUUAUAUACUAUUUAAUUUAAUUAUCUAUAUAACUGGAUACUUUUUAUGUGA